CCUACGGGUGGCUGCAGUGGGGAAUCUUGCGCAAUGGACGAAAGUCUGACGCAGCCACGCCGCGUGAGUGAAGAAGGCCUUCGGGUUGUAAAGCUCUGUCGGAUGGGACGAAAAUACCUAAGUUUAAGAGAUGUAGGUACUGACGGUACCAUCAAAGGAAGCACCGGCUAACUCUGUGCCAGCAGCCGCGGUAAUACAGAGGGUGCAAGCGUUGCUCGGAAUUAUUGGGCGUAAAGGGCAGGUAGGUGGUCCUAUUUGUCCGGGGUGAAAUCCCA
rnacentral:rRNA from 1 species